CUACGGGGCGCUGCAGUGGGGAAUAUUGGACAAUGGGCGCAAGCCUGAUCCAGCCAUGCCGCGUGUGUGAAGAAGGCCUUCGGGUUGUAAAGCACUUUCAGUUGGGAGGAAAGGUUAGUCGCUAAUAUCGGCUAGCUGUGACGUUACCAACAGAAGAAGCACCGGCUAACUCCGUGCCAGCAGCCGCGGUAAUACGGAGGGUGCAAGCGUUAAUCGUAAUUACUGGGCGUAAAGCGUACGCAGGCGGUUGAUUAAGCGAGAUGUGAAAGCCCCGGGCUCAACCUGGGAACUGCAUUUCGAACUGGUCAACUAGAGUGUGAUAGAGGGUGGUAGAAUUUCAGGUGUAGCGGUGAAAUGCGUAGAGAUCUGAAGGAAUACCGAUGGCGAAGGCAGCCACCUGGGUCAACACUGACGCUCAUGUACGAAAGCGUGGGGAGCAAACAGGAUUAGAUACCCCAGUAGUC
rnacentral:rRNA from 1 species